AAUGCAUUGUGAUUUUAAUUGGAAGGAUGGGAUCGAUUUGAGUUAGAAUCUUUGUUGAUUGAUAAGGGAGUUGUCGAGACAUCUUCCACUUUAUGCAGAAAUGAAUCUACUUAAAGUGUUCAUCCUCAAGUUGUCAAUUACAAGAAGAAGAAAUGUGGACACAGCAACUAGAUUUUUCUUUUCAAAUUGUCUAUAUUUAAUUCACAUCAAUAUAUUUUUUUAUUUCUAAUUUUGAAAAGAAUAUUUUUUUUACAUAAUUGCAGUGAAGACCCAAAUAGAAGAUCAAGUAGAUGCAAAUCAUCUAUUUUUCUAUUUCAGCUUUGUUGUUUAAAAUUAUUUUGUUUGUUUUAGAUCUUUUGAAUCUUCUAACAAUGAUACGAUUAAAUGAGAUAUUUUAUUGAGAGAAUUUAU